rnacentral:rRNA from 1 species
UACACUCCUACGGGAGGCAGCAGUGGGGAAUUUUGGACAAUGGGCGAAAGCCUGAUCCAGCAAUGCCGCGUGUGUGAAGAAGGCCUUCGGGUUGUAAAGCACUUUUGUCCGGAAAGAAAUCCUUGGCUCUAAUACAGUCGGGGGAUGACGGUACCGGAAGAAUAAGCACCGGCUAACUACGUGCCAGCAGCCGCGGUAAUACGUAGGGUGCGAGCGUUAAUCGGAAUUACUGGGCGUAAAGCGUGCGCAGGCGGUUUGCUAAGACCGAUGUGAAAUCCCCGGGCUCAACCUGGGAACUGCAUUGGUGACUGGCAGGCUAGAGUAUGGCAGAGGGGGGUAGAAUUCCACGUGUAGCAGUGAAAUGCGUAGAGAUGUGGAGGAAUACCGAUGGCGAAGGCAGCCCCCUGGGCCAAUACUGACGCUCAUGCACGAAAGCGUGGGGAGCAAACAGGAUUAGAUACCCGAGUAGUCCCAU